rnacentral:rRNA from 1 species
GAUGAACGCUGGCGGCGUGCCUAAUACAUGCAAGUCGAGCGAACAGACGAGGAGCUUGCUCCUCUGACGUUAGCGGCGGACGGGUGAGUAACACGUGGAUAACCUACCUAUAAGACUGGGAUAACUUCGGGAAACCGGAGCUAAUACCGGAGAAUAUAUUGAACCGCAUAGUUCAAUAGUGAAAGACGGCUUUGCUGUCACUUAUAGAUGGAUCCGCGUCGCAUUAGCUAGUUGGUAAGGUAACGGCUUACCAAGGCAACGAUGCGUAGCCGACCUGAGAGGGUGAUCGGCCACACUGGAACUGAGACACGGUCCAGACUCCUACGGGAGGCAGCAGUGGGGAAUAUUGCGCAAUGGGCGAAAGCCUGACGGAGCAAUGCCGCGUGGGUGAUGAAGGUCUUCGGAUUGUAAAACUCUGUUAUUAGGGAAGAAAAAAUGUGUAAGUAACUAUGGACGUCCUGACGGUACCUAAACAGAAAGCCACGGCUAACUACGUG